rnacentral:rRNA from 1 species
UACGUAGGCACCAAGCGUUGUCCGGAUUUAUUGGGCGUAGAGAGCUCGUAGGCGGUUCAGUGAGUCGGGUGUGAAAACUUUGGGCUUAACCCAAAGCGUGCAUCCGAUACUGCUGUGACUUGAGUUCGGUAGGGGAGUGGGGAAUUCCUAGUGUAGCGGUGAAAUGCACAGAUAUUAGGAGGAACACCGGUGGCGAAGGCGCCACUCUGGGCCGAAACUGACGCUGAGGAGCGAAAGCAUGGGUAGCAAACAGG